AAAAUUAGAGUGUUCAAAGCAGGCAGAUCCAAUUUUCUGCCACCGAAUACAUUAGCAUGGGAUAAUGGAAUAGGACCCUGUCCUCCUAUUUUCAGUUGGUUUUGGCAGCGCGAGGACUAGGGUAAUGAUUAAUAGGGAUAGUUGGGGGCAUUAAUAUUUAAUUGUCAGAGGUGAAAUUCUUGGAUUUAUGAAAGAUUAACUUCUGCGAAAGCAUCUGCCAAGGAUGUUUUCAUUAAUCAAGAACGAAAGUUAGGGGAUCGAAGACGAUCAGAUACCGUCGUAGUCUUAACCAUAAACGAUGCCGACCAGCGAUUAGGAGACGUUGAAUACAAAACACCACCAUCGGCGCGGUCGUCCUUGGCGUCGGUCUUUCGGGGCCGGCGCGGGGACGGCU
rnacentral:rRNA from 1 species